rnacentral:rRNA from 1 species
GAUGAACGCUGGCGGCGUGCCUAGUACAUGCAAGUCGAGCGAACGGACGAGAAGCUUGCUUCUCUGAUGUUAGCGGCGGACGGGUGAGUAACACGUGGAUAACCUACCUAUAAGACUGGGAUAACUUCGGGAAACCGGAGCUAAUACCGGAUAAUAUUUUGAACCGCAUGGUUCAAAAGUGAAAGACGGUCUUGCUGUCACUUAUAGAUGGAUCCGCGCUGCAUUAGCUAGUUGGUAAGGUAACGGCUUACCAAGGCAACGAUGCAUAGCCGACCUGAGAGGGUGAUCGGCCACACUGGAACUGAGACACGGUCCAGACUCCUACGGGAGGCAGCAGUAGGGAAUCUUCCGCAAUGGGCGAAAGCCUGACGGAGCAACGCCGCGUGAGUGAUGAAGGUCUUCGGAUCGUAAAACUCUGUUAUUAGGGAAGAACAUAUGUGUAAGUAACUGUGCACAUCUUGACGGUACCUAAUCAGAAAGCCACGGCUAACUACGUGCCAGCAGCCGCGGUAAUACGUAGGUGGCAAGCGUUAUCCGGAAUUAUUGGGCGUAAAGCGCGCGUAGGCGGUUUUUUAAGUCUGAUGUGAAAGCCCACGGCUCAACCGUGGAGGGUCAUUGGAAACUGGAAAACUUGAGUGCAGAAGAGGAAAGUGGAAUUCCAUGUGUAGCGGUGAAAUGCGCAGAGAUAUGGAGGAACACCAGUGGCGAAGGCGACUUUCUGGUCUGUAACUGACGCUGAUGUGCGAAAGCGUGGGGAUCAAACAGGAUUAGAUACCCUGGUAGUCCACGCCGUAAACGAUGAGUGCUAAGUGUUAGGGGGUUUCCGCCCCUUAGUGCUGCAGCUAACGCAUUAAGCACUCCGCCUGGGGAGUACGACCGCAAGGUUGAAACUCAAAGGAAUUGACGGGGACCCGCACAAGCGGUGGAGCAUGUGGUUUAAUUCGAAGCAACGCGAAGAACCUUACCAAAUCUUGACAUCCUUUGACAACUCUAGAGAUAGAGCCUUCCCCUUCGGGGGACAAAGUGACAGGUGGUGCAUGGUUGUCGUCAGCUCGUGUCGUGAGAUGUUGGGUUAAGUCCCGCAACGAGCGCAACCCUUAAGCUUAGUUGCCAUCAUUAAGUUGGGCACUCUAAGUUGACUGCCGGUGACAAACCGGAGGAAGGUGGGGAUGACGUCAAAUCAUCAUGCCCCUUAUGAUUUGGGCUACACACGUGCUACAAUGGACAAUACAAAGGGCAGCGAAACCGCGAGGUCAAGCAAAUCCCAUAAAGUUGUUCUCAGUUCGGAUUGUAGUCUGCAACUCGACUACAUGAAGCUGGAAUCGCUAGUAAUCGUAGAUCAGCAUGCUACGGUGAAUACGUUCCCGGGUCU